rnacentral:rRNA from 2 species
AGCCAUGCCGCGUGUGUGAAGAAGGCCUUUUGGUUGUAAAGCACUUUAAGCAGUGAAGAAGACUCUAUGGUUAAUACCCAUAGACGAUGACAUUAGCUGCAGAAUAAGCACCGGCUAACUCUGUGCCAGCAGCCGCGGUAAUACAGAGGGUGCAAGCGUUAAUCGGAAUUACUGGGCGUAAAGCGAGCGUAGGUGGCUUAAUAAGUCAGAUGUGAAAUCCCCGGGCUUAACCUGGGAACUGCAUCUGAUACUGUUGGGCUAGAGUAGGUGAGAGGGAGGUAGAAUUUCAGGUGUAGCGGUGAAAUGCGUAGAGAUCUGAAGGAAUACCGAUGGCGAAGGCAGCCUCCUGGCAUCAUACUGACACUGAGGUUCGAAAGCGUGGGUAGCAAACAGGAUUAGAUACCCUGGUAGUCCACGCCGUAAACGAUGUCUACUAGUCGUUGGGGAACUUGAUUCCUUAGUGACGCAGCUAACGCAAUAAGUAGACCGCCUGGGGAGUACGGCCGCAAGGUUAAAACUCAAAUGAAUUGACGGGGGCCCGCACAAGCGGUGGAGCAUGUGGUUUAAUUCGAUGCAACGCGAAGAACCUUACCUGGUCUUGACAUAUCUAGAAUCCUGCAGAGAUGCGGGAGUGCCUUCGGGAAUUAGAAUACAGGUGCUGCAUGGCUGUCGUCAGCUCGKGUCGU